CCCAGACUCCUACGGGAGGCAGCAGUGGGGGAUAUUGCACAAUGGGGGGAACCCUGAUGCAGCGACGCCGCGUGGGUGAAGGAGCGUUUCGGCGCGUAAAGCCCUAUCGGCAGGGAAGAAGGAGGACGGUACCUGACUAAGAAGCCCCGGCUAACUACGUGCCAGCAGCCGCGGUAAUACGUAGGGGGCCAGCGUUAUCCGGAUUUACUGGGUGUAAAGGGAGCGUAGACGGCCAGACAAGUCUGAAGUGAAAAUCCAGCGCGUAACGGUGGAAGUGCUUUGGAAACUGCCGGGCUAGAGUGCAGGAGGGGCAGGCGGAAUUCCUAGUGUAGCGGUGAAAUGCGUAGAUAUUAGGAGGAACACCAGUGGCGAAGGCGGCCUGCUGGACAGCAACUGACGUUGAGGCUCGAAGGCGUGGGGAGCAAACAGGAUUAGAGACCCCAGUAUGC
rnacentral:rRNA from 1 species